rnacentral:lncRNA from 1 species
AUAGAAGCCAUCGGUCCCUCCACUGGGAGCUGGUCUUCUGUGUUGCUUCACCCCACAGUAAAGGACGGGGUAUCUGAGAUUUUAAGGACAGUGUCCUACUUGGAGAGUGGCACAAAAAUGUCGUUGGAACUCUACCUCUCCUGUUUACCAGAGAGAGAAAGUGGAAACAGGGAAGUCCGAAGGAGCCUGGAGGAAGCGUCUUCCUAAAUUGGCAAGGAAGUUUGGAAGGGAGCCAUUCAUGAACCCUGAUGGCUUAACAAGGGGCAUCGGUCCUGCGUCUCCGAAAAUGCACCCAUUUUUCAAAUCCUAA